rnacentral:rRNA from 1 species
AACGCGAAGAACCUUACCUACUCUUGCAUCCUAGGAAUGAUGUAGAAAUUAUAUCAGUGCCUUCGGGAGCCUAGAGACAGGUGCUGCAUGGCUGUCGUCAGCUCGUGUCGUGAGAUGUUGGGUUAAGUCCCGUAACGAGCGCAACCCUUAUCCUUAGUUACCAACGAGUAGUGUCGGGGACUCUAGGGAGACUGCUGGUGAUAAACCGGAGGAAGGUGGGGACGAUGUCAAGUCAUCAUGGCCCUUACGAGUAGGGCUACACACGUGCUACAAUGGUUGGUACAAAGGGAAGCGAAACCGCGAGGUGGAGCAAAUCUCAUAAAGCCAAUCGUAGUCCGGAUUGGAGUCUGCAACUCGACUCCAUGAAGCUGGAAUCGCUAGUAAUCGUGGAUCAGAACGCCACGGUGAAUACGUUCCCGGGCCUUGUACACACCGGAGUA